CGUGACGCAGCAACGCCGCGUGGGGAAGACGGCUUCGGUUGUAACCCUUCAGGAGGGACGAAGGCUCGCCGGUGAAUAGCCGUGCGGGUUGACGGUACCUCCACAAGAAGCUCCGGCUAACUACGUGCCAGCAGCCGCGGUAAUACGUAGGAGCAAGCGUUGUCCGGAAUCAUUGGGCGUAAAGCGCGCGUAGGCGGCCCCGUAAGUCCGCUGUGAAAGUCAAAGGCUCAACCUUUGAAAGCCGGUUGAUACUGUCGGGCUAGAGUCCGGAAGAGGCGAGUGGAAUUCCCGGUGUAGCGGUGAAAUGCGCAGAUAUCGGGAGGAACACCAAUGGCGAAGGCAGCUCGCUGGGACGGUACUGACGCUGAGACGCGAAAGCGUGGGGAGCAAACAGGAUUAGAUACCCUGGUAGUCCACGCCGUAAACGAUGGGCACUAGGUGUUGGGGGUGUCGACUCCCCCGGCGCCGUAGCUAACGCAUUAAGUGCCCCGCCUGGGGAGUACGGCCGCAAGGCUA
rnacentral:rRNA from 1 species